rnacentral:rRNA from 1 species
AUGGGGAGCUUUGGGGCUAAAAAGAAGAAAUUGAUCUUUGUAGGGGUAGCUACUUUAAUUUGGAGCAUCUGGAAAACCAGGAACCUGGCUUGUUUUCAACAUGUCUGGCCUGCUGAUCCUAGUGUGGUGAUUUUUAAGAUGACACAUUGGAUUAAUGACUGGAGUAACUUGCAGGUGAGGGACUGCUGGAACGAGUCGCCAAUGAUAUCUUUCAAGCGCGACGAAGCAGGGCAUCUUGGAUUCCAAGGAUUGCUGGGUGAAAAAUGA